rnacentral:rRNA from 1 species
UACGAAGGGGGCGAGCGUUGUUCGGAAUUACUGGGCGUAAAGGGCGCGUAGGCGGCGACUCUAGUCAGAUGUGAAAGUCCUGGGCUUAACCUGGGGACUGCAUUUGGGACUGCAAGGCUUGAGUGCGGCAGAGGAGACUGGAAUUCCUGGUGUAGCAGUGAAAUGCGUAGAUAUCAGGAGGAAUACCGAUGGCGAAGGCAGGUCUCUGGGCUGACACUGACGCUCAUGCACGAAAGCGUGGGGAGCAAACAGG